rfam:Pristionchus pacificus strain PS312 contig5438, whole genome shotgun sequence.
GGGGGCAUAGCUCAGUGGUGUUGAGUGGCUUAGCAUGCGAGAGGGCUGGGGUUCAAUUCCCCAUGCCUCCA